AGUGAAGGAAGUGCUGCAAUUCCUAACAUAAUUCUCCAACCAAGAUGAAGGGGCAAUCUUGAGAAGAUAUAGUUAGACAAAUAACCAAGUAAAAUACCAGUACUAAUUCCAAUUUCUGGUAGAGAUGUUAAGAAUCCACGAGACUUAGGUGAUGAGAUUUCUGCAGAAUAAACUGGUGCUAUCAUAAGUGCAAAACCAACACCAACACCAGCAACACAUCUUCCAAACAAUAAUACUGGAUAAUUAGGGCCAUAUCCCAUUAUAACUGAUCCAAGCAAGAAAAUUACAGAAGCUAUAACGAUAGUGUUACGUCUCCCGAUAAUAUCAGAAGUUCUUCCAGCACAAAGUGAGCCAAUUAAAGCACAUAAAUUAAGAAUCCCUGCCAAUACUUCUGUUUUGUGAUCAUUGAUGUGGAAUUCUUUCUUCACAAAUAUCAUAGCUCCGCUCAUCACACCAGUAUCUAACAAAAUAAAAACAUAUAAAUUCUUGUUAGAACAUAAUAUGUACGGUAUAUAAAUUCACACUUCUUUUUCUUUUCUAAUCAAUUAAUUAAAAGUAAGUACAUGCAUGCAUGAGGUAAAAUCUCUAUAUAUGUUUUGUAACUGGCUUUCUCUGGUAGGUUAAAAGGUAGGAGUGUUUAUCGCUCGAUUCGGUUCAUAUUAUGGGUUCAGUUUGUCGAUAUUAUAUCGGUUAAUCCAGCAAGUAAAUUUCAGACAUAGAUGAUGGCUAAAGAAAAACAAGAAGGAGAAUUUAAAUUAUUGAAGAAGAAAACUUACCAUAGCCAAAGAUGAUAGAUAUCAUGGAAGCAACAAUAGCACAAGCAGCUGCAUAUUUAUUAACCUUAGUGGGAUUUUCUAUACUAUCAUUCUCCAUAUUUUCUCAAUACAAUAUAGCUUAAAUUAAAAAAUUUUGUUUUGAUAAUAAAGUGACAAAAUCAUAUAAAACUCAGAUAUGAUGAUAGCAUGGAAGAAAAUCCCCCUUACGAUAGAAGUUCAACGUAAUAAUAUUACGUUUGAACUUGUGAAGAAUUAAUGUUAUGUUGAUAGUAAUAGGUCCAUAGUACGAUAUAUAUAAGAAUUAUAAGUUACAUGAGUCCUCAUUAUUGGAUUGACAUGUGGUCUUGCGUUUCCAACGCCGGCUUUAUUUGGAUAUCAUUGAUAUUCAUUUAGUGGUAUUCCGAUCAGUUUGUGUAUAUUUUGUUAAUGUAUUGAAUGUAUGUUAGCUAUCGGUGUAUAAUUUAAAAUUGAUCAGUUCAAACUUUAAGUUGUUAAUGCUGAUUCAUUAUAGAUAGAAAUUUAUGUAUUUUCAAAUUUUAAUCUAAUUAAUUUGUUGAAAUUUUAGUGAUUCUAAUUGCACUCCUUCUCACCAUCAAUAAAUAUAUACAUAAUAAAGAAGAAUCUAGAAGAGUUGAUGUGUUAUCUCUCAUAAGUUAGAAUUCUUAUUUAUUUUUUUCUCAAAAUUUUGGACAUUUUCUUAUUUAUUUCUUACUAUUUAUUAAUUUGUGUAAUAUUUAAAAAAAAAAAAAAACAGAAAUCAUCUCAUUUAAUAAAUAAUGAAAUUGUCGAUUUUAAGUGAACUAAACACUGUACCGAUGUGGUUACUACUAGUACCAUUGUCCAUUCAAUUCCUUUGUCUUCAUGUCUUUGACAUUCAAGAGAGGGUUCCAUAUAAAUAUGAGCAUAAUAUAAUUAAGUACUGUUAAUUACAAUUUCCAUGAAGAAUUGAGUGAAUAUUGAGUGUUUUUAUUUUUUUAAAAAAUAUUGAAUUCUAAAUUUCUUCUAAUAUUCUUUUUUUCAGUCACAGAUUUAUGCUCCAACACUUGCAUAUUAGUUCCGACCAGAAUGAUUGAGAAUGUAACUAUAACAAGAAAUUCUCAAGGCAAGCAAACAUAUUCUUCUUUUAGUAUUUUUGGAUUAAAGUUUGUAAGAAAAACCUAUUAAACUCAUAAAACCUUGAUUUUUUUUUAUUUUUUUUUUUUUUUUUUUUUUUUUUUUUUUUGUUGUUGUUGUUGUUAGAGUGUAUACCCUACUAAUUUUAAUAUUUAACUCUACUGGUUGCCUAUCUGUGGAACAGGUAAGUAAACGUGGUUCACAGAAGUAAAAACUGAACACAGUGUUUUUACUUGGAAAACACCCGGCUUAAGAAAGGUGUAAAAAACCACAACCUGUACUUCUACAGGAUUUAACCUCAACUUCACUUUAACUCUUGAGCCUCAACAAUCAACAAUAUUACAAGACUUCUUGUAAAACUAGGAAUUAAAACUUCUAACUCCUAUACUACAAAAACACAAAUCUUCCCAAGAUAAGUGUUCCCAAGUCUUCGAGUUCCCUAACUUGAAGACACAACUCCUAACUCAAUUUAUAGAUCACUGAGACUAGAACAAUGACUCAUUACAACUCAAAGAACCUACCUAUUACAAACAGUCUAUGACUUGCUAAGUAAGGGAUCAGGUUCUUCUUCAAGUAAGUGAACAGUUUUGCUGAUUGCUGAUUACCUUUUCAGUGCAUUGAGUGAAUCCUUUGAAAGUCAUUUCUUCUAUUUAAGCCAACAUCUAAUAGAGUCCUUUAGUUGAUGUAUAUUUUUAUCUUCACUAGGACUCCCAGAUAGUUUCACUCAUUCUUUACUGCCUUCUCUCCAGACUUCUUGUUUGACUGAACUUCUUCGAGAUUUCUUGUUCAACUCAACUUCUGCAAAACUUCUUGUUCAAACCAAACUUCUGCAAGACUUCUUGUUCAACUUCAACUUCAACUUCUGCAAGAUUUCUUGUUCAACUCAACUUCUAUUGUGAUAAGUGUUAUCCACUCCUAUUUUGCACGCAGAGUCAUCUUUUCAAUAACUUGCCUGUAACUUUGUUCACUUGGAUGGAACAGAUAGCACAACAUGUUUCAUUCACAUGUCCAUCAUCAAAACUUCACAGUCCCUAACAAAUUCCCUCUUUUUGAUGAUGACAAACUUAGCAGCUCAGCACCUAGUUAUUCAAUCCUGACAUACGCAGUAAAGGAAUCAAAAUAGAAAAUCACAGAAUGAAACAAGUUAAGUUGGGUUAUAAGCAUUGUAUAAUCUGUUCUUCCCCCUUUUGACAUCAUCGAAAAGCUGGAACACCAAGUAAAAAUAGUCCAAUAAUUCAUGGCCACUGGGUAUAUCACUAAAAUAUUCAAGAAUCAAAGCAAAAGAACAACUAUGCAUUUAAAAAAAUAGAAGCAGAACACAUUAAGUAGAAGAAAAUCCAUUGCAGUCAUAGAACAAGGUACAAUUUAUCAUAAACCAAUAAUAGCAUCAAAGAAGAAACAGCUAGGACGAAGAGACAAUGAGGAAAGAUGCCUAAGGCACUAAGAAGGGCUUAAGUGGAUGAGGAAGAGGGGAUAAGGAAGGUUAGAUUCCUAAUGAUAUCAACAUUUUCAGCUCUUUCUUUUUCCAAGAUGACUGUGAGGGAAGCAAUUUGAGCUUGAAGGACCUAUUUCUCCUCCUCAUAAGCUGCCUGGGCAGCCUUCAAUGUAGUUUGUGCCACUUCUACCUCACCUUGCUUGGCAGUCAGCACUCCUCAUAGCAACAGGUAACAUAGCAUGGUUCACAGAUCCAAUAACAUCCUUUGUGGUUUGCAGUGACCACACUUUGACAGGAACAUGAAAAUCCUCAAAAACAGGGGCAAACCAGAACUCAUAUGGCAAAGCAUGGCCAUUUACAUCUUGGAGGAAGACCCUUUGCAUGUGCUUGAUGAUGAGUCUAGGUAGGUCAAUGGGGAUUUGAGAAUCUAAUAGUUCCAUCAAGGUGAGAUCAAGAAAAUUGGCAAUUGUUCUCCUUUCCUACCUAGGAAGGAUCAUUUGUGAACCACAUCAAAAUAAAAUUGAUAAAGGGGGGACAUUUCAUUCUUCAAGACCCUACGAUGAGCAAGAAGAUGAGGAUUUCCUAAAGAUAUUAAGAGCAGAUGGGAUAUUUUCAAGAGGUAGUCAAGAACCUUUCACAUAAUGUGCCCAACCUCCAGAAGGAACAUGCAGAAUCCUAGCUAAAUCAGCUGGAUAGAGAUUAAUGAUUUUCCCAUGAACUGUGGUAGAGAACUGUAACACCCCGAAUCUGAUAUCCAGAAUGCAACAUGGUGCUUAUGACCCUGAAGGCCCACAAUCUAACCUAUGACUGAUAUCUAUAACUGAGCACUGAAUAAUAUACUGUAAUUAUGCGAAAUAUAAGCUAUAAGGCCAUAAGGUUCAAAACUAAACUAAUACUGAAUAUAAAUAAUAUCUAUAAUAGGGUAUAACAAUACCCAAAACUAAAGUAAAACUGCCUGAAAAAUAUGUUAUAGUCUGAAAACCUCUAAACUGUCUGAAAACUGUGGAGUUGAUGGGAUAUGUCCCCAACUAACUCCGAACUACUGAAAUAAUAAAGUAAUAAAAUAAUCAUGCCAUCCUCGAAGAGGGGAUAAGGAAGGUUAGAUUCCUAAUGAUAUCAACAUUUUCAGCUCUUUCUUUUUCCAAGAUGACUGUGAGGGAAGCAAUUUGAGCUUGAAGGACCUAUUUCUCCUCCUCAUAAGCUGCCUGGGCAGCCUUCAAUGUAGUUUGUGCCACUUCUACCUCACCUUGCUUGGCAGUCAGCACUCCUCAUAGCAACAGGUAACAUAGCAUGGUUCACAGAUCCAAUAACAUCCUUUGUGGUUUGCAGUGACCACACUUUGACAGGAACAUGAAAAUCCUCAAAAACAGGGGCAAACCAGAACUCAUAUGGCAAAGCAUGGCCAUUUACAUCUUGGAGGAAGACCCUUUGCAUGUGCUUGAUGAUGAGUCUAGGUAGGUCAAUGGGGAUUUGAGAAUCUAAUAGUUCCAUCAAGGUGAGAUCAAGAAAAUUGGCAAUUGUUCUCCUUUCCUACCUAGGAAGGAUCAUUUGUGAACCACAUCAAAAUAAAAUUGAUAAAGGGGGGACAUUUCAUUCUUCAAGACCCUACGAUGAGCAAGAAGAUGAGGAUUUCCUAAAGAUAUUAAGAGCAGAUGGGAUAUUUUCAAGAGGUAGUCAAGAACCUUUCACAUAAUGUGCCCAACCUCCAGAAGGAACAUGCAGAAUCCUAGCUAAAUCAGCUGGAUAGAGAUUAAUGAUUUUCCCAUGAACUGUGGUAGAGAACUGUAACACCCCGAAUCUGAUAUCCAGAAUGCAACAUGGUGCUUAUGACCCUGAAGGCCCACAAUCUAACCUAUGACUGAUAUCUAUAACUGAGCACUGAAUAAUAUACUGUAAUUAUGCGAAAUAUAAGCUAUAAGGCCAUAAGGUUCAAAACUAAACUAAUACUGAAUAUAAAUAAUAUCUAUAAUAGGGUAUAACAAUACCCAAAACUAAAGUAAAACUGCCUGAAAAAUAUGUUAUAGUCUGAAAACCUCUAAACUGUCUGAAAACUGUGGAGUUGAUGGGAUAUGUCCCCAACUAACUCCGAACUACUGAAAUAAUAAAGUAAUAAAAUAAUCAUGCCAUCCUCGAAUGAUGAGGACUCAUUGCUAGUAUGGUUGCUAAACGUCUGAUCUACUAAAGAUGCUCCGGAGCUCGUACUCCUAAACCUAUGGUAUAAAACACCAUAGCGCAAAUGUGUCAGUACAUUGAAUGUACUGGUAUGCAAGUGAGGUAGGCUAAAUACAAUUAUGCAUGAACGAUACUAACUGACUGAAUAACAUGAACGUGAGAAUACAUGCAUGAAUAUGUAACUGUGACUGACAUCGUGAUAGGACUGAAUACUGAGUUCUGACUACUAAGUUUACUGAUAACAAGGAUUUACUGAUAUCUAAGUUAACUAUUACUGGAAUACAGAUUAACUGUAUUACUGAUAAAUUGACAACUGAGUUUACUGAUAUGGAUAUCUGAAUAUUUAUUUAUGAUAGUUCUAAUUAUGAAGAACUGAUCUGAUUGACUGUAUCUGACAGUCCUAAAUCUGAAUACUGAUAACAUGAGUUUCGUAUAACUAGUAGGCUGAUACUGAGCGACUGUAUCUGACAGUCUAAGUUCUGAUGGAACUAGCUGAGUUUCGUACUGUACUGAGUGACUGUAUCUAAUAGUCUUAAAAUUUGUAGAACUAUCUGAGUUCUAUUACUGAGACUGAGACUGAGACUGAAACUGAGACUGUGGAAGGUAAUCAUUUAAUCGACAUGCCACAAAACUUUACUGGUGGGGUCCAACCUGUAACCCCAGUUCGAAGAGUGUCAGUAUUGAGCCACAGGUAAAGACAAGCUGUGAGGUAACCCUCUCUGAUGGGAAGCUCUUUCGUCAACCCUCCUGUAGGAAUAACCCCAAACGAGAUGAGAUGUAUUAGUAGCCCUACGCAUAGGAAAAUAUCUCAAUCUACGCUGGCUACGUAGUUCUGGAAUGCAAGGAUUGCUUGUAAGGAUCACACCCUCCACUAAAUAACAGGCGAGUCCCCAUCCUUGGGUUCACUCGGUGCUGAAUACUACUCCCAACUGAAUAGAUACUGAACUGACUAACUGAACUGAACUGAACUGACACUAAUGGUAUUGUUUAGUGGAGCUAAACUGAUUUCACUAAGUUUCGUUGACUGACGAAAUGCUACUGAGAUCUGAGGACUGAGGAUAGUACUAAAGUUACUAAGAUUUCUGGGAAUACUGAGGUUAACGAGAUUACUGAGUACUGAGAUCACUGAGAUUACUGAACUACUGAGAUUAUUAAGAUUUCAAAGAUUUCUGGAAGAGACUGGACUAAUACAGAGUUUACUGAGUUUUCCUGAGUCAUGCGACUUACUAAAUUCUACUGAUCAUGGCUUGACUGAGAUUAUCGUGAAAACAUGACAUGACUCUAGGCACACAGCUAAAUUGUCGGGUACAAGUACCCCCAAGACUCGAUAAGAUGAAACUGACAAGGCUUGAUAUUUUUGAUCACAUGACCAAUAUCAACAAUUCAUAAUUUCAUAGUUGGGGAUUUCAUGAAGAACAUGAUCAUCAUAAUGCUGUACAUAGAUAGUAAUGCGUAUAAACAUGGAAUAAUUUUAUGCUUCUAAUCUUAUGAACAUCUCAUCAAGCAAUCACAAUGCAUAGUUUUUGCAUGGGAAUCAUCAUAAUCAGGUAGGUAUAGCAUAACUUAAGAGACAUGACAUAAUCUUGACACAUGGAAACUAAGUACUUGAUCAUCAUUCAUUCAUUGGGGCAUAUUAUCAAACACCUUGCAUGAACACUUAGGGCAUAGGUAUGAUCAUCAAUUUAAUACAACAUGGUUCCACAAUUUAACUCAAUUGCAUGAAUUUCAACCAUAUACUAACAUAGUUUUAUGAAAACAUGAUAAAAAUGCAAUCUUGAUAAUCAUACAACAAUAACAACAUGAACAUAGUCAAUUCAAAACAAUGGCAUCAUGACAUAUAGUUUAAAAUAGGGUUCUUGAGCUUCAUGGACGAAAGAAGUCCAUGAAUCAACACUGUGCAUACCUUAGUUGUUGAUUCUACGAAGAUUAAUGGAGAGAUUCUUGAAUUUGAGUCUUGGAUUUGAAUUCUCAAUUGAAAACCCUAGUUUUUUCUUGAGAGUAACUUGAGAGAAACAAUAUAUUUUGGGUGAAAUAUGACUGAAUCACGUGUUAUUGGGUUUAUAUAGGGAUGGAAUUAACCCUUUUAACCCUUGGACGCGUAUUUUAAUUCUGUGAAAUUUUUUUGAUUUUCAUCCUUGGCACGGGGCGCCACUAUCUCACCAAGUCACUGGAAAGUGACAAAUGGGAAAUUGCACGGCGGCGCGAUGCGGAACUAUCGCAUUGCCACUUUAUUUGUGACCUAGAAGUUUGGCGCGAAGCGGAGAUAUCGCGCUGAGACACUGGAAAAAGGACAAUUCUGAAUUUGAGCCUUGGCGCGAUGCGCCAUAAUCGCGGAGGCACACUGGAUUUUGACGAUGGCCAUUUUGACCUGCUCCGCGAUGCGCUGAUGGCUCAAGUGGGACAUUGUCUUACUAAAAAGGCUCUAACUCUUCGUCCGGGUAUCGGAUUUGGGCAAAUUUAGUAUCGAUGGAAAGCUUAUUCAAUUUUCCACAUGACAAAGAGUGAAAAUAUUGAAAAUAACACAUGUAUAAAAGUGGAUUCAUCAUUAAAACAAGUCUUUAACAUUGUUGGGAUGAAUUUAAGCUAGGUAGAAGUACGGGAUAUUAAAAGAACAUUUCCCCAAUAGCAACUCCAUUUGUGUAAAACUCAUAAACUUCAUCCUUUCCAAACUUAAUUUGAUGAUCACCUUGCAGAAACAGGUGUGACCACCCUUGAAUUCUUAAUUUUGUGACCAGGAUAUCCAUAUUAGGGCCCCUCAAAACCAGUGACAACCCUUUCUCUAGCCAACUUUCAUUUUAGAAAGUGGAGAACAUGUGCUGACUGAGAAGACUUAUCGGUAGGAGUAUCAACAUCAAAAUCAAUGUCAAGAUCAGGAUUAAUUUCAGUGGAUGGAGUAGGAGGAGUAGCAAGAAGAUAGUUACGAUCUGAGUUUGAUGAGUCAGAAGAAACAGGUUUGGGGACUUGUUUCUUCGGACAUGAUAUAGAUGAUGAGGAAACUUUUAAGAAAGAUGAGGCUUUAACAGUAGUUGUGGGUUUUGAGGAAGAUAAAGUUUUUGAAGUAGGUUGGGAAGACGAUUUAUGGGACAAGGACGAUUUAGGAAUUUUUGCCAAAAUAGUUUUAUUCUUCCUUACUGAAUGAAGAAGGAUAUCAGGGGAGGAUGCUUGAGGAGAUGAGGGACCAGAGGUAGCAAUCCGUUUAUUUUUACUAGCACGAAGUGCUUCUUCCAGAGAAGCAUCUUCUCAUUGCUUCUUUCCUCGAGUAUGAGGAGUACGAGGAGUAGAAGUAACAUGGAAAGGUUCAACAUGGACGAUAUCAUCAGCUUCAAUGGAGAUUGAAGAGGGUUUUUUCUGUGGCUUGGAUCUGGAUCUUUGUGGAACUAAAUUAGCAAUAGGGAUAUCAUCUCGAUCAAUGGGAGUGUCAUCUUGAUCAAGAAUCUGAUGAGGGAUUGGAGGUAGCAGUGCAGAUUCAGAGAAGGGUGAGGGUUUGAAAGAAAAAUUUGCAAAAGGGUUUUGCAAAUUCUGGAAUAAUGCAAAAUUGGAUAGCUUGAUAGAAGGUGGGGGAUGAAUAAAAGGAGGUAAGGUAAUAUUAGGAUGAAGAAUAAUGGUUUUUGGUGAAGUACAAGUGGAGUCAGUAGGUGGUGAAGAAUAAGAUGCCAUGGUGAAAUUUAUGAUGACCAGUGAUUUUCUUUAUGUUCCUUUCAGCCCUUUCGUUCAUCCAUUCUAUUUCCCAGACUGGACAGUCUCUGAUUUGAUGAUCAGUUUUGCCACACUUGUAGCAACCAUUUGGAUUGUCAUUGGAACGUUUCUUACUACCUGUUCCCUUUUUUUUCUUAAAGAAUUUGCUGAAGUUCUUAGUUAUGAAAGCAACUUGUUCCUUAUCAAGUUCAAAUUCCUCAUCACUAUUAGAAGCUUUUAAUGCCAAGAUUUUCUCAGGAGAUUCUUGUUCUUUGGUUCCAUCUACUUCCAUUUCGUAAGUUCUUAAGUUCCCUAUUAGCUCAUCCAGGGUCAUACCUGCAAGAUCCUUAUUUGCCUUCCUGAUUCCAGUCACCAUAACAUUCUAUUUUGAUUUAGGUAAUACCCUUAGUACCUUUUCGACUUGUUCCUCCUUAGAGAUGACUUUUCCUAAGGAAGUCAACUCAUUUGUUAAGGUGGUAAGUCUUUUCAUCAUCUCAUGUAGGGUUUCAUUUUCAUUUAUUUUAAAUGCCUCAUACUCAGUAAAAAGAAGAGAAAUCCUGAAUUUUCUUACUUUAGAGGUACCUUCAUGAGCAUUCACUAGUGUAUCCCAAAUUUUCUUAGCAGUGGUGUAAGUUGAUACCCUGUUAUAUUCAGCAGGUCCUAAUCUACAGACCAAGAUGUUCUUGGCCUUAGCAUUUUUCUUCAAGGCCAAUAAGUCAUCAGGAGUAAAUUCACUCCUUACUUUCUUGACUGGUUCACCAUCAACAAAUUUCAUUGGAAUAGUGGGACCAUCAGUAAUCCUAUCCCACAAUUCAUAGUCCUCACCUUGGAUGAACAUCUCCAUUCUUGCUUUCCACCAGAUAAAGUGAAAGCCAUCAAAGAGUGGAGGUCUAGCAGUUGACUGACCUUCACUGUGACCAGUAGGAGGUGCGGAAUUCAUCAUUAAUCUUUUCUUAGGUGCUAACCUUAUUUAAGACAACCUCGCUCUGAUACCACUUGUUAGAGUGUAUGCCCUACUAAUUUUAAUAUUUAACUCUACUGGUUGCCUAUCUGUGGAACAGGUAAGUAAACAUGGUUCACAGAAGUAAAAACUGAAUACAGUGUUUUUACGUGGAAAACACCCGGCUCAAGAAAGGUGUAAAAAACUAUGACUUUUACUUCUACAGGAUUUAACCCCAACUUCACUUUAACUCUUGAGCCUUAAUAAUCAACAAUAUUACAAGACUUCUUGUAAAACUAGGAAUUAAAACUUCUAACUCCUAUACUACAAAAACACAAAUCUUCCCAAGAUAAGUGUUCCCAAGUCUUCGAGUUCCCUAAAUUGAAGACACAACUCCUAACUCAGAUUAUAGAUCACUGAGACUAGAACAAUGACUCAUUACAACUCAAAGAACCUACCUAUUACAAACAUUCUAUGCCUUACUAAGUAAGGGGUCAGGUUAUUCUUCAAGUAAGUGAACUGUUGUGCUGAUUGUUGAUUAUCUUUUCGGUGCAUUGAGUGAAUCAUUUGAAAGUCGUUUCUUCUAUUUAAGCGAACAUCUGAUAGAGUCCUUUAGUUGGUGUAUAUUUCUAUCUUCACUAGGACUUCCAGGUAGUUUCAAUCAUUCUUUACUUGCUUCUCUCCAGACUUUUUGUUUGACUGAACUUCUUCGAGAUUUCUUGUUCAACUCAACUUCUGCAAAACUUCUUGUUCAAACCAAACUUCUGCAAAAUUUCUUGUUCAACUUCAACUUCUGCAAGAUUUCUUGUUCAACUCAACUUCUGUUGUGAUAAGUGUUAUCCACUCCUAUUUUGCACGCAGACUUCUUAUUCACUUGGAUGGAACAACUAGCACAACAUAUUUCAUUCACAUGUCCAUCAUCAAAACUUCCCAGUCCCUAACAGUUAUCCUUGUUAUUGUCAUUAUUAUUAUUAUUAUUAUUAUUAUUAUUAUUAUUAUUGGUUGAUUUUGAGUCCUUUAAAUUGUGUUUGGUGAAUUGUAGUUUCAGCCAAGGAUUGGUGAGUCUAACUUUUAGUCUUUGAAACUCUUUUUCGUUUCUUUGUUUUUUAUUUAUUUAUGUCAUCUCCUCUCAAUGAUGAAGGUUAAUUUAGAAAUAGUCAAAGUAACAGAUAUUUAAUAUUGAAAAUCUGGAGGCGAAGAUGAAAUGAUGGUGAAACCAGAAAUUUUGUUCAAAGUGUUCGAAAAAAGAGAAAUUUCAGUUGAAGUGACAGGUUUAUAUUCUAAUUUGAUGGAGUGAGCUAUAGUUUGCUUCUUCGUAGCUUGGAAUACCAAGAAAAUUUGUUUCUUUCGCACUAGUAAAAGUACGAUCAUCACGAUUUCCAGCCCAAUCAACAUUGGAAAAGGAUUAUUACAAAACAAAGGGAGAGUGCUUAGAAAUUUGAAGUAGUUAGCCCUUUUUUCCAUUGUUCUAGUAUGAAUUAAUCACCUUUUUAAGAGCAAUUCAAUGCUUUACGGUUCUUUGUUGGAGUCUCUUCUUUUUUGGGUGCUCUCACGACAAGUUCUUUUCGAUAUUGUAAUAAUAUUGCUUGCCACUCUUUGGUCCGGUAAACCAACUCCAACCAAGCCCAACACUUAUGUUCUACAUGAAAAUUGAGCAAGCCAAAUUGGUAGCAAAGGCAAUGUCAUAGUCUCGUUAGUGCCAAGUACUAAAGACAUCCAAUCAAAAUUUGAUAGUAUUAUUUUGAAUUACUCAAAAUGAGCACUAUCUUUCAAGGCCAAAACUUUUGUAGUUGCAAAUAGAGUAGAAAUAAGCUUUGCACCACAUAUUAAAUCACCCUCAACAGUACAUCAAUUCCAUAAAGAUAGAUAUAUAUAAGCCUUUGGUAGUGGCGAAUCACUUCAUAAAAACCCAAAAAGUAAACAAGUUGCUCAAGUUUUUUUUUUUUUUUAAUCGAAAACUACUUAUCAAGCUUAGCAAUAAUAAAGAUAUCAAGUUUGAAUGGCGUGGCGUCUGUUUGAGACCAUAUAAAGUCAUGCACUUGACAUACAUAAUAAAGCUGAACAGGAUUGCCAAAGCGUUGUACACAUCCUCCAUCAAAUGUCCAUGAAGAUGAGGCAUAUUAUUAAUAUCUAAUUGUUGUAUAUUCCAGUCUUCACUAACAAGUACAUACAUACAUGAGAUAAAAUUAUGAGAAUUGAACUGCUGUAUGUUUAGCCACAGGUGGAAAUGUUUGAAUGUAAUCAAUACUUGGUCGCUGAGUAAAUUCUUUAGAAACUAAUCGCGCAUUAUAUUUGCAUAAGAUAUCAUCUAAAUUUUGCUUUACGCGAAAUUUCACUUGCAACCAAUUAUAUAAUUUUGUGAUUCUAAUUAUCUAGGAACAGGCGUCCAUAUCCUCUGAUCUGUUGUUUCAACGCAUUAUAUUCGUCUGUCUCAGCAGAUUGGAGUUGUUGUGCAUGGACGAGAUUCUUGGUGUAUGAAUUAGGUGAUUGAUGACCAUCCCAUUUACCAUUUGUUCAAAAGUUUUGUGUUCUUAUUUACAUAGACAUCUUUAUAUGUAUAUAUAUAUAUAUAUAAAAGAGAUCUGAACUUGAAAUUUUUUUCUAUUCAAUUUAUAAUACCGAGGGCAAGAGAUAUCAUUUUCACAUUACUUGACAGUGAAAGGGAGGGAAUAUAUAAAGUUCAGUUACUUUAAUAUCAUAAAAUAUACUUUUGCAAGUGGUGGUGAUGGGCAAAAUUGUAUGACUAUAAAAUUAACCCUUGUUUAAAUUUAAGGAGUCAAUUUCACUUUGCCCCUAAUAUUUAAUGUUUGGAAACGAUAUUCCUUUCACUUUACCCCAGAAUUUAAGGAUUGAAUAUUACUAGUAUUAUUGAAACCGAAACCUCAAGAUUCAAUUAGGUGGCUUUUAGUUCCAAUAGUUUCAUAUAAAGUAAGCCAUAUAUAUUAGAUACUUUUGCUAUAUCAUCCUAGCUAAUUUUUUGCCAGACUCAUCUUUUUUGACUAUAGUCGUUGAGAUGUUACAUGGAGUAUCCAUUUGCCUCAAUGCACUUGUGACAAAUGAGUGUGAUAUGGGUCUCAGGUAAAAAAAUAAAAAUGAUUUACCUGUGACAAUAUUUGUACUGGUUACUUACCAGCAUCCUUGCCUAAUUCCAUGUUACACAGGAGAUGGUCAUUUUAUGGGGUACCAGCCAUAUCAUCCCAGCUAAUUAUAUUUCUGGACUCAUGUUGCUAAGUUUAGUAUUAUUUGAGAUUACUAUGUGACCUGGAGUAUUCACUUACCCCAAAGUAUCAGUGCUAAAUAAGUGUGACAUGGGUAUAAGUAUUUCAUCAAUCAACAACCAGUGGGAAAGCUUUAAAAAGAAAUAAUUAAGAAAAAAUUCUCUCUUUUCAAUUUCAUAUAUAUACACCGGGCUACCUUUUAUAUCAAAUAUAUACACAAAUAUAAAAUGCAAAAACCUGCCCUGGAUGUUUAUUUGUUAGUAUCGUCUGCGUUCUUGCGUCUGGUGAAAAGAGAUUCCAUUUCUUCCAAAGACUUUCCUUUGGUCUCAGGGCAAAAGAAGAUGACGAAAAACAAAGCCACCACAGAUACUCCACAAAACAAGAAGAAAGUACCUCCAAUAGUAAUUGCAUUAGACAUGGUGAGGAAAGUCAUUGAAACAGUAGCAUUCAUCAACCUAUUGACUGCAACACCAAUUCCAUUACCCAAUGCCCUAUACCUUAGAGGAUAUAUCUCAGCACUAUAAACCCAUGUAACUGGUGCAAGUCCGAUGUUGAAAAACCCCACAUAUGCAUAAGUUGAAAUGAUACUAAGUACCAAAGCCCAAAUAAUUUUCCCACCAGAAUGCUCUGCCAAUGUCAAGAAAGUUCCAAGUCCAGCUAAUGUGCAGAUCAUGCCAAUCACACUAAAUAACAAUAACUUUCUCCUCCCAACUUUGUCAACCAAGAAAGUAGAUGCUACUAUAGCUAUAAAUUUUGUCAAUCCAACUCCAACUGUGGCUAGUAUUUGCUUCCUUGUGUCAUGUACUCCUGCCUUGGCAAAAAUCUUGUGACUAUAUAAUAUCACAGCUUCAAUACCAGUUGCGUGUUCAAAGAAAUGAAUUCCCACACCAGCAAUUAAAAUCCAUCUUAGUGCUGGGGUUGGUCUUAACAACAAUUCUUUCCAAACCCCGUGUGAUUCUUUUGAUUCAUGAAUCUUGACAACGUCAUCGUCGCAAUUUUCAUCGAUUCCUACAGAUUGUUGAAUAUCCCUGAGUCGAAUUUCAGCUUGUUCAGGUGUAUUAGAAACUUUGUACAGUAUUUUCUUGGCGUCACCUAGACGGCCUUUCAUAAUAAGCCACCUAGGAGACUCAGGCAUUUUAAGAAGGCCAACGGCCAAGAGAAGUGAAGGAAUUGCUGCAAUUCCUAACAUAAUUCUCCAACCAAGAUGAAGGUAUAAUCUUGAGAAAAUGUAGUUAGAUAAAUAACCAAGUAAAAUACCAACACUAAUUUCCAAUUUCUGGUAGAGAUGUUAAAAAUCCACGCGUCUUAGGUGAUGAGAUUUCUGCAGAAUAAACUGGUGCUAUCAUAAGUGCAAAUCCAACACCAACACCAACACCAACACCAGCAACACAUCUUCCACCUAAUAAUGUAAUAUAAUUUGGACCAUAUCCCAUUAAAACUGAACCAAGCAAGAAA
rnacentral:lncRNA from 1 species